CGACGAAGUAAAAGUAAAAUAAGUAAUAAUAUUUGCCGGCUUUCAAUCUAAUUUAAUAAUUCAGAAAUAAUUGAGACAUUUAACUAUAUCAAUACUAGAAAUUUUAAGGUUAUAAAUAGACAGAGAGAAUUCCUGUCAGCUCUCUGAAAGCAGUAUAAAAGGAAA